rnacentral:rRNA from 1 species
UACGUAGGUGGCAAGCGUUGUCCGGAUUUACUGGGCGUAAAGAGCGCGCAGGCGGUCGUUCAAGUCGCGUGUGAAAGCCCCCGGCUCAACUGGGGAGGGUCACGCGAUACUGAUCGACUCGAAGGCAGGAGAGGGUAGUGGAAUUCCCGGUGUAGUGGUGAAAUGCGUAGAUAUCGGGAGGAACACCGGUGGCGAAGGCGGCAUCCUGGACCAACACUGACGCUGAGUGAGCGAAAGCCAGGGGAGCAAACGGG